rnacentral:rRNA from 1 species
UAAGAAUUUAAAAGUCGAACAGACUUAUUAUUAAGAAUACUGCUUCUUAAAAUUUUCUUAAUUCAACAUCGAGGUCGCAAAAUAUAAUAUAGAUGUGAACUCCCCAUUAAAAUUACGCUGUUAUCCCUAAGGUAACUUAAUCUUACUCUCCUUAACUCAAGGAUCCAAAAUUACAUAGACAAAUGAAUACAAAAGCUAAAGUUAAUUAUUUAACUGCCACCCCAGCAAAAUAUAAAUAAAUAUUAAAAAAUAUAUAAAUUAAAACCUAAUAAAAUUCAAUCAUAUAAAGUUCUAUAGGGUCUUAUCGUCCCAAUAAACUAAUAAAGCAUUUUAACUUUAAAUUUAAAUUUUAACAUUUAAAAAAAUAAAAUAUAAUUCUCAUACAUCCAUUCAUACAAGCUUUCAAUUAAAAAACUAAUUACUAUGCUACCUUUGCACAGUCAAAAUACUGCAGCCAUUUAGAAAUAAACCAUAGGGCAGAAGAUACUUUUUAUAAAAACA